rnacentral:rRNA from 1 species
AACGUAGGACGCGAGCGUUAUCCGGAGUUACUGGGCGAAAAGCGCGGGCAGGCGGUCUGACAAGUCUGAUGUGAAAUCUCCGGGCUUAACCGGGAGAGGCCAUUGGAAACUGACAGGCUGGAGGGCAGUAGAGGUAGGCGGAAUUCCGGGUGGAGUGGUGAAAUGCGUAGAGAUCCGGAGGAACACCAGAGGCGAAGGCGGCCUACUGGGCUGCACCUGACGCUGAGCCGCGAAAGCCAGGGGAGCGAACGGG